GAGUUUGAUCCUGGCUCAGAACGAACGCUGGCGGCAGGCUUAACACAUGCAAGUCGAACGCCCCGCAAGGGGAGUGGCAGACGGGUGAGUAACGCGUGGGAAUCUACCCAGAUCUUCGGAACAACUGAGGGAAACUUCAGCUAAUACCGGAUACGCCCUACGGGGAAAGAUUUAUCGGUUCUGGAUGAGCCCGCGUUGGAUUAGCUAGUUGGUGGGGUAAUGGCCUACCAAGGCGACGAUCCAUAGCUGGUCUGAGAGGAUGAUCAGCCACACUGGGACUGAGACACGGCCCAGACUCCUACGGGAGGCAGCAGUGGGGAAUAUUGGACAAUGGGCGAAAGCCUGAUCCAGCCAUGCCGCGUGAGUGAUGAAGGCCUUAAGGGUUGUAAAGCUCUUUCAGUAGGGAAGAUAAU
rnacentral:rRNA from 1 species